UGAGUAACCUGCCCUCCACUCUGGGAUAAGCCCGGGAAACUGGGUCUAAUACCGGAUAUGACCUCCUGUCUCAUGGCGGGUGGUGGAAAGUUUUUCGGUGGGGGAUGGACUCGCGGCCUAUCAGCUUGUUGGUGAGGUAAUGGCCCACCAAGGCGGCGACGGGUAGCCGGCCUGAGAGGGUGACCGGCCACACUGGGACUGAGACACGGCCCAGACUCCUACGGGAGGCAG
rnacentral:rRNA from 1 species